UGGGUUCAGACCCAGUGUGGUAAAAAGUAAAAUGAGGGGCUGGGAGGGAAUUUAGCUGAGUGGUUCCACCGCCUGCCUCACAAACACAAGGUCCCAAGUUCGAGCCCUCUACCAAAAAAAAACAAAAAAUAAAAAAAAAAAGCCAAAUGAGUCCCAGCUGUGAGCCCUUUAUUGUAGCUGACUCUCCCACGAUCCCACUUCCUGGCAGCCGCCCCCACACGAUCCUCUCUCCUGCAGUAGACCAGACCCAGAGACUUGUGACCAGUGAUGGGUGUUGCUUCUGAGAAUGAGGUGGUCCUGAGCCUGGGUCUGCUGUGAGCCACUUGGGUGAGGUCUCGAGUACCUGUCUCUGGCCUUGUCAGGCCCUGCACCUCACUGGGACCCUGCCAUCAAAAAGGAAUCCGACACACAUCUGUACUCCCAUUUCUCUGGAGGCUGAGGCAGGAGCAUGAUAUCAGCCCCACAGAGCAGAGAGCUUUGGCUCUGGCAUGUUCAAAUCUGCAGCACCUAGAUACCACCCAGCAUGCAGGGUUUGUUGACUACACAACCCUCAAACCUGGAAAAGAAGACGGAAAAAUGCUUGGAGCUACAGAAAGAUUAGCUGAGGGGGCAUCUGUGAGCCAUAAAGGUUAGGUGAGGUAGGGUGCUCACAGUGGGGUUGGGAGACAGUGUUUUUUUAAAGUCUCCGAUCAGCAUUUUUUUAAAGUCUCCCCCCGCCCGCUUUUUCCGCAGUUCUGAAGAUUCAAC
rnacentral:lncRNA from 1 species